rnacentral:rRNA from 1 species
UACGUAGGGUGCGAGCGUUGUCCGGAAUUAUUGGGCGUAAAGGGCUCGUAGGCGGUUUGUCGCGUCGGGAGUGAAAACCCAGGGCUUAACCCUGGGCUGGCUUCCGAUACGGGCAGACUAGAGGUAUGCAGGGGAGAACGGAAUUCCUGGUGUAGCGGUGAAAUGCGUAGAUAUCAGGAGGAACACCGGUGGCGAAGGCGGCUAACUGGCCCAACAUUGACGCUGAGACCCGAAAGCAUGGGGAUCAAACAGGA